rnacentral:lncRNA from 1 species
CUGAGUUUUGACACCAAUGAGCAGUCGCUGGAGCAGGUCUUCUCAAAGUACGGACAGAUCUCUGAAGUGGUGGUUGUGAAAGACAGGGAGACCCAGAGAUCUCGGGGAUUUGGGUUUGUCACCUUUGAGAACAUUGACGACGCUAAGGAUGCCAUGAUGGCCAUGAAUGGGAAGUCUGUAGAUGGACGGCAGAUCCGAGUAGACCAGGCAGGCAAGUCGUCAGACAACCGAUCCCGUGGGUACCGUGGUGGCUCUGCCGGGGGCCGGGGCUUCUUCCGUGGGGGCCGAGGACGGGGCCGUGGGUUCUCUAGAGGUGAGGGACCGAGGCUAUGGGGGGAACCGGUUCGAGUCCAGGAGUGGGGGCUACGGAGGCUCCAGAGACUACUAUAGCAGCCGGAGUCAGAGUGGUGGCUACAGUGACCGGAGCUCGGGCGGGUCCUACAGAGACAGUUAUGACAGUUACGGUUGAAGGGGCCCGGCCAGGACUCGGGGAAGGGUGGCCUGAGAGCAGCGAUGACCUCUGGGGUCACUGUCCCAGGAGGGACUUCACCUGGAACAAGAGCUGGAGGCAGCCGCUUGCCCAGGAGGCUUGUCCCCUGCGCUUCGCCAGUGAGGUGCGGGCUCAGGGCCUCGAGUCUCUCCUGGAGCACGGGCUGCGGUGCGCCGGCAGCUUACGGGGCGGCCAGUCCUUGCCCACAACGAUGUGGAGCCCUGUGAAAGUCGGAUUCGAAUAAAGGGCCACGUGUGCACCCAG